rnacentral:rRNA from 1 species
GAGGAAUAUUGGGCAAUGCCCGAAAGGGUGACCCAGCAACGCCGCGUGGAGGAUGAAGGUCGUAAGAUUGUAAACUCCUGUUAGAGGGGAAGAAUAACUAAGUUUGGAGCUUAGUAUGACUGUACCCUCAGAGAAAGCCCCGGCUAACUACGUGCCAGCAGCCGCGGUAAUACGUAGGGGGCAAGCGCUGUCCGGAUUUACUGGGUGUAAAGGGCGCGCAGGCGGGAUAAAAAGUCAGUGGUGAAAUCCUACAGCUUAACUGUAGAACUGCCUUUGAUACUUUUAUUCUUGAGUUCGGGAGAGAGAGACGGAAUUCCGGGUGUAGUGGUGAAAUACGUAGAUAUCUGGAAGAACACCAAUUGCGAAGGCGGUCUCUUGGUCCGACACUGACGC